rnacentral:tRNA from 1 species
GCGCGUGUAGCUCAGCUGGUUAGAGCGCGGCUCUUAUAAAGCCGAGGUUUCGGUGGUUCGAUCCCACCCACGCGCA